CCUACGGGGUGCAGCAGUGGGGAAUAUUGGACAAUGGGCGAAAGCCUGAUCCAGCAGUGCCGCGUGUGUGAAGAAGGUCUUCGGAUUGUAAAGCACUUUCGACGGGGACGAUGAUGACGGUACCCGUAGAAGAAGCCCCGGCUAACUUCGUGCCAGCAGCCGCGGUAAUACGAAGGGGGCUAGCGUUGCUCGGAAUGACUGGGCGUAAAGGGCGCGUAGGCGGUUUAUGCAGUCAGAUGUGAAAUCCCCGGGCUUAACCUGGGAACUGCAUUUGUGACGCAUAGGCUAGAAGUCGAGAGAGGGUUGUGGAAUUCCCAGUGUAGAGGUGAAAUUCGUAGAUAUUGGGAAGAACGCCGGUGGCGAAGGCGGCAACCUGGCUCGACACUGACGCUGAGGCGCGAAAGCGUGGGGAGCAAACAGGAUUAGAUACCCUUGUAGUC
rnacentral:rRNA from 1 species